rnacentral:lncRNA from 1 species
GAAGAAACUAUCUCUUAUUCCCUUUAAGAUUAGAGCUGUGGUUUUUGCAUUGACAAUUAGGGAUCCCAAUCUGGGGUUCUGAGAAUGAUCUUUCUUUUGGAGGAAUCACACGAAUGGAAGCUAGGUUCCAGCAAGGACCCAUUCUUGGAGUCCAGACAGCCUGAUGUUACCUUCUCCGCUGAUAUUGGUAUUCAUAUGCUCAGCUAAAUGUACAUAACUGUAAAUCAACACUAAGAGCACCGGAUGGUUAAGGUCAAGGAGAUUCUCACAAAGGAUCCAG